rnacentral:rRNA from 1 species
GAUGAACGCUGGCGGCGUGCCUAAUACAUGCAAGUCGAGCGAACGGACGAGAAGCUUGCUUCUCUGAUGUUAGCGGCGGACGGGUGAGUAACACGUGGAUAACCUACCUAUAAGACUGGGAUAACUUCGGGAAACCGGAGCUAAUACCGGAUAAUAUUUUGAACCGCAUGGUUCAAAAGUGAAAGACGGUCUUGCUGUCACUUAUAGAUGGAUCCGCGCUGCAUUAGCUAGUUGGUAAGGUAACGGCUUACCAAGGCAACGAUGCAUAGCCGACCUGAGAGGGUGAUCGGCCACACUGGAUCUGAGACACGGUCCAGACCCCUACGGGAGGCAGCAGUAGGGAAUCUUCCGCAAUGGGCGAAAGCCUGACGGAGCAACGCCGCGUGAGUGAUGAAGGUCUUCGGAUCGUAAAACUCUGUUAUUAGGGAAGAACAUAUGUGUAAGUAACUGUGCACAUCUUGACGGUACCUAAUCAGAAAGCCACGGCUAACUACGUG